CUGAGGUGGAGGGAGAAGGGUGUAGUAGUGUAGGGAGAAGCUCUCUCACUAGAAACACAACGUUGGGACUAGACCGUAAAGGUCCACUCUAAAUUUGUCCAAAACGGAGCUGCCAACGCUGACCACUAUGACACCCACAACCACCUCCAUUUGCUCCUCCCUUACCUCACUCACGCAACCAGAAUAAAACCAAGAACAAAAUAGAACUCUCAAAUACAACCCCAAAACAUAGCCAUCAACUUGAAUCAACGCUGAAUGAUCAAGAGCACAAAAUCUCCCAACCGAAAAACCCCAAGACCCCAUUUCAACCCCUAGGCCCCAUCACGAGAUCAAAACUUGCAAAUAAGAAAUAAAAACCCCAUUCAAACAACACCAUCGCCUGGAGCACUCGUUGUCGAGGAAGAAGCGUUGUGAAUCGCAAUACCAUCGCCUCACCGCCACGUCGCCGCCGACGUGCCCUUGAUGCACCCUCGCCACGUUACGAGAAAGGAGUUCGCUCCCGUUCCUGUUAAACACCGCCAGACCCAACGAAAGAGAAAGGAAGAACGCCUCCUUGUUUGCGAGCAAAAGGAGAAGAAGAGAGGGGCUUCCCUAGCCAGGCUCUCGUGUGAGACAAAGAAAUCCCUUGGCUGGGUUGUUUGAGAACACGACCAGACAUUAGGGAAAAUUUCCCUUGCGCGACCCCAAAAGCCAGGGUUUUCCUGGUUCAAAAAUUAAACCACAGCUUAGGCCCAAAGAAGGAGAAAGGAGAAGUUUCUCCCUGUGUGCGACCUCCACAAGGGUGUUGCUUCCUCCACCACCACAUCAUGCUUCCUCCACCUCCCCAAAUUGUUUUAAUUCUAAUUCUAUCUUUAAGUUAAAACUUUUUUACUUUUACUAUUUAGGAUUUUUUUUUAUUAAUAUGGAAGCCCUAUUUCUAUCGUUCCCGUAUAUGAAUGCAUGCAGCGGCAAGCACACAAACUUUUUUUCCUCUUUAACUUCUUCCUUUGCCUAUACUGUUACAUUAUUUUAUUGUUUCAUUUUGUUGUGAGAGUGUAGUGGAGUUUCAUUCCAUGGUGUACUUAGUGGAAGAUUACAAAGGUUGCUGGUGGUGCAAGCAACUGAUCCAGCGAUCUUGGUGGUGGUGGUGCUUGAAGGUACAGUGGUGAAAAUGGUGAAGGUGAAGGUUGAGGUGCGGAAAAAAGUUACGUUCUGUUGAAGGUCAAACGGAUGUGGAAAAGUUAUGAUUCAUUCAUCACGACAAUAAUAUGCCAAGACAGAACCUUUUCCUCCAUGUCACUUCUUUCUUCUUCUCCUUCUAUGUGGCUUUGUCGGCGGCGACACACCGUCGCGGGAGGUGUGGUGCGUGGCCAAGAACAACGCGGAGGAUGCGGCGUUGCAGUCGGCUGUUGCGUGGGCCUGCGGCGCCGGCGGGACCGAUUGCGGAUCGAUCCAGGGAGGAGGACCUUGCUUAGACCCUUCUAGCGUGCAGAAUACGGCGUCGUACGCUUUCAAUGAUUAUUUCCGAAAACACGAGAUCACCGAAGAGAAUUGUAACUUCGGUAACAAUGCCGCCAUCACCUCCUCGAAUCCCAUGAACAACGGAAGCCUCUCGGGAUCCGCGUCAUCGAUGGGAUCAAUGCCCGGUGAAGACACGGGUGGAUGCGGUGGAGUUGUUCGGAGGUGGUGGUUUUGGCCAUUUGUUAUCGCCGCUUAUUUAUUCUCCAUAGUUUCACCCUUACCCAUUGUUUAAGGAUAGAGAUCUAUCUAUUUCAGAUUUUUAGAUUUACUAGCAUAGUUCAAAUCAGCAUUUGUACUUAAUUUAAAUCAAAGGGAGUAAAUGUAAGGUUGUGUUAUGAACUAUGGUCUCUGUUUCUAGGAGGAAAGUUAGUCCAUUUUUUGUGAGUUUUGUGUCAUAUGAUUCUUCUAUUCUUGAAAUGCAAUAUGCAGAGGUUAGUUUUACUUGUACUGAUACAAUUAAAGUGAGUUAUUGAUAGCUAUUUUAAAUGGUUAUGGUGAA